UGUUCUUGCGCUGGUCACCCUGUAGCUGAACUACUUCUCCAUAUUCUGGAUGCUCAAUUACAGUACCAUUGCAGGCAAAUUUCUUCUUAAACGCCUUCACUAGUUUCUUUUUAUCGUAAUCAUCAAGAUCGGAAGAGCACA